rnacentral:rRNA from 1 species
GCGAAGGGGACUAGCGUUGUUCGGAAUUACUGGGCGUAAAGCGCACGUAGGCGGAUUUGUAAGUCAGGGGUGAAAUCCCGGGGCUCAACCUCGGAACUGCCUUUGAUACUGCAAAUCUCGAGUCCGAUAGAGGUGGGUGGAAUUCCUAGUGUAGAGGUGAAAUUCGUAGAUAUUAGGAAGAACACCGGUGGCGAAGGCGACUUACUGGACACAUAUUGACGCUGAGGUGCGAAAGCGUGGGGAGCAAACAGGA